UACGGAGGGUGCAAGCGUUAUCCGGAUUUACUGGGUUUAAAGGGUGCGUAGGCGGGCCUUUAAGUCAGUGGUGAAAUCUCCGGGCCUAACCCGGAAACUGCCAUUGAUACUAUUGGUCUUGAAUUCAGUUGAGGUGGGCGGAAUGGUGUCGUGUAGCGGUGAAAUGCUUAGAUAUGACACAGAACACCGAUUGCGAAGGCAGCUCGCUAAACCUGAUAUUGACGCUGAGGCAACGAAAGCGUGGGGAUCAAACAGGG
rnacentral:rRNA from 1 species